UCGUCGGUGUCGCGGGCGACGACGAGCCGCUUGCCCUGCGGCGUCGAGCAGGCGACGGCGCGGCUCGGGUUCGGCAUCGGGUCGGGCGGGC
rnacentral:tRNA from 3 species